AGGACCUGGCAGGGGAGAUACCAUGAUCAUGAAGGUGGUUUUCCCAGGGUGAGGCUCAUCCAUUGCACUCCAGGUGUACUGACCCCUGUGAUUUCCCCAAAUGCGGGGAACUCAGCUGCAUAAUUUGUGGCAGAGGUGCCAAUAAGUUUCCACACUGCACCA